CAAUAUAAAAAAAACCAGAUUAGACAAAAGUGGAAUAAAAGACAAAUAUAAAUAGUAGCAUAAAAUAAUACCAAAGACAUUAUAAUAAAACAUAAAAAAAAACAUAUGAGAUGAGAGAUUAGAGAAGAUGAAAAAAAGAACAUAAGAGAUGCGAGAUUGAGAAGAAAAGUGCAAUAAAAACGUAAUUGAAAGAGAAAAUAGUAACAUAAAAGAUAAAAAAAAGAAAGAACAUAAUAGAGGACUUAUUAGAGUAGAAUAGACGAGACCUACAUGGAAAAGAAGAUGAGAAGAAUGUGUGAUACUACUAUGAGAGAUUUAAGAAGGUUGAAAUUGAAACCCUAAGUGUGAUUAAGAGAAAAUCGUUUGUAAUUAUUAAGGUUAAGGCAUACUAGGUUUGAGGUUUGGGUUGGAUGUGGGAUAAGUGAACUUUGGGUUGUACAUAAUGCGGUUUGGUUUGGUUUAGUUCGGUUUGCAAAAUACAAACCGCCAAACCAAAACUAACGUGCGGUUUUAUUAAAAAAUGACCCAAACGAAUCCGAACCAAAUGCGGUUUUUUGCGGUUUCGGUUUGGUUUGGUUUGGUUUGCGGUUUUCUAUUGGGUUGGUUUGGUUUUGAACACCCCUAGGACAUGGUAGGAUCAAUAGUUGAGUUAGUUAAGGCUUUGGUCUUCCAACUCUCAUGUCCUAGGUUCCACCUUGUAGGCCACACAACACCCUUUUUAUGGUUUUCACUAUUUUUGUUGUUUAUUUUUGGCAUUUUUUUAAUCAAAUAGUUUGUAUUUUUUGGGCUUGUACCAUUCAAUUUAAAUCCCAUUUAGCCCUUGAUAUUUACACCCCUUUGGUGUUUUCUUUGUUUUUAUUUUAUUUUUAAGGUACAUGAUAAAUAGUUUUUUCAUUUCGAUUACGAUGACAAGAGAUGUAGUAAUUUUGUAAUGAUGUUGCAAUAAUAUUAAUUCAUGUGUGGACUGUUUGGUUUCAUUUACUUCAUCGUGUAAAAAUCAAAAUUUUAAUUUAUGGAUUUGAUAUUUUCCAUGUCGUUAAGCCACCGGAUUUUUUUUAUCUAUAUAUUGAUUGUAUUUCGUCGAGUUAUGAUCUUUGCAUACGACGUCUCAUUUGUUG
rnacentral:lncRNA from 1 species